GCGAACGCUGGCGGCAGGCUUAACACAUGCAAGUCGAGCGCUCGUAGCAAUACGGGAGCGGCAGACGGGUGAGUAACACGUGGGAACGUACCUUUGGUUCGGAACAACAUAGGGAAACUUGUGCUAAUACCGGAUAAGCCCUUACGGGGAAAGAUUUAUCGCCGAAAGAUCGGCCCGCGUCUGAUUAGCUAGUUGGUGAGGUAACGGCUCACCAAGGCGACGAUCAGUAGCUGGUCNGAGAGGAUGAUCAGCCAC
rnacentral:rRNA from 1 species